rnacentral:lncRNA from 1 species
AGAAAAGAAAGAAAAAAAACUUUUAAAAAAAGUAAAAAACUUUCUGGCGCUCUGCUAGGGUUUAAUACCCAAGCUUCCUCGCGCCGCUUCCCUAUCACCCUCCGCCGCGACUCCGUGUAAUCGGAGGCCGGAGGGGUGCCAGAUCUGGGCUCUUUAACCCCUCCUAACAACUCUUGAAGGCCAAGGUAAGUCUCCCUUCCUUUAUUCUUUUUAUUUUCGUACACAAAAGCACAAAUAAAAAAAAACUGAAACUUCAAAUAAUCACCUUAAAAAUACUGAUGUUUGCUUUGUUUUCUCUUUGAUCUCCCCUUUCUUUUUACAAAAGACCGACUGUUUUAUAGCCUAACACUAACCUAUUUUCCUUGUCUUUUGUUGUUUUACAUUAUUUGGACUCUUUGAGUCCGUUUUACAAGUAUUUGAGGAGCGAACGGCGUGCGUGGGGAAGCCGAUCUCCGAGUCUUGCGGCGACUGGACGUUGGGCGCGACGUGGGGCUGAUGGGGCUUGCGGCGCUAGACAUGCGGCUAGGGUUUGGGUGUUUUGGGGUCUGGUUUAGGAUAAAUUGAUUUGGGCUGGGUUAUUGGGCUUGUUUGUUUCUUUGGGUUUUAUUUUUAACAGGCCGGAUAAAAUUGGGCCCUACAGUAUAUAUCGAUACUUAACUCAUUCAACGAUCACUAACAAUUAUUUUUUAGUCAAAAUAUCAGUAUUGAUAUCAAUACAUUAAUUAGAGGAUCAAUUUUUCAAUUUAAAACUAAUGCUAGCAACGACUCUAUUUCACUUUCAAAUGUCCACAAACUCAUUUCUUAUUAUAAAUACAGCUACAAAAUAUAAGAGAGUAACAUCCAAAUAAAAAAAAAAAAACAAGACACAAACUUAUAUCAAGUUGUUCAGAAAUUACUUUGAGAGUAUUUGCAUUAUGUCACCAUUAUUGUAUGAUAGUAAAAAA